rnacentral:rRNA from 2 species
AUAUACAUGCAAGUCGAACGAACUCUGGUAUUGAUUGGUGCUUGCAUCAUGAUUUACAUUUGAGUGAGUGGCGAACUGGUGAGUAACACGUGGGAAACCUGCCCAGAAGCGGGGGAUAACACCUGGAAACAGAUGCUAAUACCGCAUAACAACUUGGACCGCAUGGUCCGAGUUUGAAAGAUGGCUUCGGCUAUCACUUUUGGAUGGUCCCGCGGCGUAUUAGCUAGAUGGUGGGGUAACGGCUCACCAUGGCAAUGAUACGUAGCCGACCUGAGAGGGUAAUCGGCCACAUUGGGACUGAGACACGGCCCAAACUCCUACGGGAGGCAGCAGUAGGGAAUCUUCCACAAUGGACGAAAGUCUGAUGGAGCAACGCCGCGUGAGUGAAGAAGGGUUUCGGCUCGUAAAACUCUGUUGUUAAAGAAGAACAUAUCUGAGAGUAACUGUUCAGGUAUUGACGGUAUUUAAACCAGAAAGCCACGGCUAACUACGUGCCAGCAGCCGCGGUAAUACGUAGGUGGCAAGCGUUGUCCGGAUUUAUUGGGCGUAAAGCGAGCGCAGGCGGUUUUUUAAGUCUGAUGUGAAAGCCUUCGGCUCAACCGAAGAAGUGCAUCGGAAACUGGGAAACUUGAGUGCAGAAGAGGACAGUGGAACUCCAUGUGUAGCGGUGAAAUGCGUAGAUAUAUGGAAGAACACCAGUGGCGAAGGCGGCUGUCUGGUCUGUAACUGACGCUGAGGCUCGAAAGUAUGGGUAGCAAACAGGAUUAGAUACCCUGGUAGUCCAUACCGUAAACGAUGAAUGCUAAGUGUUGGAGGGUUUCCGCCCUUCAGUGCUGCAGCUAACGCAUUAAGCAUUCCGCCUGGGGAGUACGGCCGCAAGGCUGAAACUCAAAGGAAUUGACGGGGGCCCGCACAAGCGGUGGAGCAUGUGGUUUAAUUCGAAGCUACGCGAAGAACCUUACCAGGUCUUGACAUACUAUGCAAAUCUAAGAGAUUAGACGUUCCUUUCGGGGACAUGGAUACAGGUGGUGCAUGGUUGUCGUCAGCUCGUGUCGUGAGAUGUUGGGUUAAGUCCCGCAACGAGCGCAACCCUUAUUAUCAGUUGCCAGCAUUAAGUUGGGCACUCUGGUGAGACUGCCGGUGACAAACCGGAGGAAGGUGGGGAUGACGUCAAAUCAUCAUGCCCCUUAUGACCUGGGCUACACACGUGCUACAAUGGAUGGUACAACGAGUUGCGAACUCGCGAGAGUAAGCUAAUCUCUUAAAGCCAUUCUCAGUUCGGAUUGUAGGCUGCAACUCGCCUACAUGAAGUCGGAAUCGCUAGUAAUCGCGGAUCAGCAUGCCGCGGUGAAUACGUUCCCGGGCCUUGUACACACCGCCCGUCACACCAUGAGAGUUUGUAACACCCAAAGUCGGUGGGGUAACCUUUUAGGAACCAGCCGCCUAAUGG